ensembl:lncRNA
GGGCGGUUUGGCUUAUGACCCUAGCAUUGCGACCUCACUUCCUUGGCGACAGGUCCAAACAGAACUCGGAACCCUGGAGUCACUGGGCACCACAGUCCAGCGACGGCUGCCUAACAGUCACUUGGCUGGAGAGAGUCAGCAGCGAUCAUGCUGUGCUGCUUUCCCAGGCCUCGAGGCCGCAGCAACAGGACCCCGCACAGGGAAAGGACUUGGACGCAAGUGAGAGGAUGGAUGGCUAAGUCCCCAUGCUUCAGGCCACUCACCAGGAACUACCUGGCCAUCAGGGGCAGCCCAGGGCAGAUCUCCCGGGACCUGGACACCAGACACUUGGGGCCACCGAGUCCAGGACAGGUCCAGUCAGGCCCGGCCACCACUGUUUCCCACCUCCAACGUCAUUUCUGCCUCCUCUAUGUUGAGAGCCACAUGCUGUGAGAUAAAGAGCCAACAAUAUGGUGGAGAAAUAAGCAAGCAGAGACCAAGGGGACUUGGAAUGCACCGCACAGUGACCAGGGUCAGGCAGAUGCUGACUCACAGCAAGAAAACAGAGCAUGCCAUCUGCCAUGAGCUCAUUAUGAGGGAUGAGUGGAGUCUGGCACCUGCUCUUGGACCUCCAGAACU